rnacentral:rRNA from 1 species
AUUGAACGCUGGCGGCAGGCCUAACACAUGCAAGUCGAACGGUAACAGGAAGCAGCUUGCUGCUUUGCUGACGAGUGGCGGACGGGUGAGUAAUGUCUGGGAAACUGCCUGAUGGAGGGGGAUAACUACUGGAAACGGUAGCUAAUACCGCAUAACGUCGCAAGACCAAAGAGGGGGACCUUCGGGCCUCUUGCCAUCGGAUGUGCCCAGAUGGGAUUAGCUAGUAGGUGGGGUAAAGGCUCACCUAGGCGACGAUCCCUAGCUGGUCUGAGAGGAUGACCAGCCACACUGGAACUGAGACACGGUCCAGACUCCUACGGGAGGCAGCAGUGGGGAAUAUUGCACAAUGGGCGCAAGCCUGAUGCAGCCAUGCCGCGUGUAUGAAGAAGGCCUUCGGGUUGUAAAGUACUUUCAGCGGGGAGGAAGGGAGUAAAGUUAAUACCUUUGCGCAUUGACGUUACCCGAAGAAGAAGCACCGGCUAACUCCGUG